GGAAAAAGGGGGGGCAGGCUAACACAUGCAAGUCGAGCGGAAACGAGUUAACUGAACCUUCGGGGAACGUUAACGGCGUCGAGCGGCGGACGGGUGAGUAAUGCCUGGGAAAUUGCCCUGAUGUGGGGGAUAACCAUUGGAAACGAUGGCUAAUACCGCAUAAUAGCCCGGUUCUUCGGAAUGGGUCUCAAAGAGGGGGACCUUUUAGGCCUCUCGCGUCAGGAUAUGCCCAGGUGGGAUUAGCUAGUUGGUGAGGUAAUGGCUCACCAAGGCGACGAUCCCUAGCUGGUCUGAGAGGAUGAUCAGCCACACUGGAACUGAGACACGGUCCAGACUCCUACGGGAGGCAGCAGUGGGGAAUAUUGCACAAUGGGCGCAAGCCUGAUGCAGCCAUGCCGCGUGUAUGAAGAAGGCCUUCGGGUUGUAAAGUACUUUCAGCAGUGAGGAAGGUGGGUAUGUUAAUAGCAUACACAUUUGACGUUAGCUGCAGAAGAAGCACCGGCUAACUCCGUGCCAGCAGCCGCGGUAAUACGGAGGGUGCGAGCGUUAAUCGGAAUUACUGGGCGUAAAGCGCAUGCAGGUGGUUUGUUAAGUCAGAUGUGAAAGCCCGGGGCUCAACCUCGGAAUUGCAUUUGAAACUGGCAAACUAGAGUACUGUAGAGGGGGGUAGAAUUUCAGGUGUAGCGGUGAAAUGCGUAGAGAUCUGAAGGAAUACCGGUGGCGAAGGCGGCCCCCUGGACAGAUACUGACACUCAGAUGCGAAAGCGUGGGGAGCAAACAGGAUUAGAUACCCUGGUAGUCCACGCCGUAAACGAUGUCUACUUGGAGGAUGUGGCCUUGAUCCGUGGCUUUCAGAACCUAACGCGGUUAAU
rnacentral:rRNA from 1 species